UUAUGAGUUGCAAAAUUGAACGGCCACAAAUUAGUUUAGCAAAAGUGCAAUCACCAUCUUGCCUUAGCCUUCCAAAAGUGAGGCCAACCAUGUAGCAACACCUAGUUCAAGGAACCAUGGGCAUAUUUUGUUGGUAUGUUACAUUUGCUAAUAAUGUAGGAAGCAGCCAUUGCUACAGGGUGGAAGGUGUGGAAAGGAACUUAGAAAGUGUUUGAUAUGAUAUUCUCUU
rnacentral:lncRNA from 1 species